rnacentral:rRNA from 1 species
AAUAAACGCUGGCGGCAUGCCUAACACAUGCAAGUCGUACGAGAAAGUUCCCUUCGGGGAGCGAGUAAAGUGGCGGACGGGUGAGUAACACGUAAGAACCUACCCUUUGGCUUGGGAUAACAUCGCGAAAGUGGUGCUAAUACCGGAUAAAGUCUAAGGACCAAAGAGGGCGAAAGCUCUCACCAGAGGAGGGGCUUGCGGCCCAUUAGCUAGUUGGUGAGGUAAUGGCCCACCAAGGCGACGAUCGGUAGCUGGUCUGAGAGGAUGAUCAGCCACACUGGAACUGAGACACGGUCCAGACACCUACGGGUGGCAG